rnacentral:rRNA from 1 species
GUGGGGAAUCUUCCGCAAUGGACGAAAGUCUGACGGAGCGACGCCGCGUGAGUGAAGAAGGCCUUCGGGUCGUAAAGCUCUGUCAUCAGGGACGAACGGCCGGUGGAGUGGAAAGCCACCGGAUUGACGGUACCUGAGAAGGAAGCCACGGCUAACUACGUGCCAGCAGCCGCGGUAAUACGUAGGUGGCAAGCGUUGUCCGGAAUUAUUGGGCGUAAAGCGCGCGCAGGUGGGAUCUUAAGUCCAAUUUUAAAGUUCGGAGCUCAACUCCGUGAUGGGAUGGAAACUGGGAUUCUUGAGUACCGGAGAGGAAAGCGGAAUUCCCCGUGUAGCGGUGAAAUGCGUAGAUAUGGGGAGGAACACCAGUGGCGAAGGCGGCUUUCUGGACGGUGUCUGACACUGAGGCGCGAAAGCCAGGGGAGCGAACGGGAUUAGAUACCCGGGUAGUCC